CGCGGCCUAUCAGCUUGUUGGUGGGGUGAUGGCCUACCAAGGCGACGACGGGUAGCCGGCCUGAGAGGGCGACCGGCCACACUGGGACUGAGACACGGCCCAGACUCCUACGGGAGGCAGCAGUGGGGAAUAUUGCACAAUGGGCGAAAGCCUGAUGCAGCGACGCCGCGUGAGGGAUGACGGCCUUCGGGUUGUAAACCUCUUUCAGCAGGGAAGAAGCGAAAGUGACGGUACCUGCAGAAGAAGCGCCGGCUAACUACGUGCCAGCAGCCGCGGUAAUACGUAGGGCGCAAGCGUUGUCCGGAAUUAUUGGGCGUAAAGAGCUCGUAGGCGGCUUGUCGCGUCGGUUGUGAAAGCCCGGGGCUUAACCCCGGGUCUGCAGUCGAUACGGGCAGGCUAGAGUUCGGUAGGGGAGAUCGGAAUUCCUGGAGUAGCGGUGAAAUGCGCAGAUAUCAGGAGGAACACCGGUGGCGAAGGCGGAUCUCUGGGCCGAUACUGACGCUGAGGAGCGAAAGCGUGGGGAGCGAACAGGAUUAGAUACCCUGGUAGUCCACGCCGUAAACGGUGGGCACUAGGUGUGGGCGACAUUCCACGUCGUCCGUGCCGCAGCUAACGCAUUAAGUGCCCCGCCUGGGGAGUACGGA
rnacentral:rRNA from 1 species